AUGGAACUUUGUGAACACCCUUGCUUUCACUGUAUCAGUAUGCCGAUUCUUUGUUCAGUUGAGCUGGUGCUAAGGGCAGCAAUGUGGCAGAUCUUCCCUUCAUGCCGACAUAUAGAAGCUUGGGUGCUGAUUUCAUGUAUGCUUGCUCCUAUUGGGCUUCGAGAUCAUGGAAAUUUUGUACAAUGUUUAUGCAUUUCUAAUUUUCUAUCUAAUGUGGAGCCUGUAGAGAUACUGUGUGUCUGUACAGAUAAAACAAUGAUGUUGUCUUUUCAUGGAAGAAGAAUUGCAGAUGGUGGGAGCUAG
rnacentral:rRNA from 1 species